rnacentral:pre_miRNA from 1 species
UAUAUACUCCCUCCGUCCGGAAAUACUUAUCCUCAAAAUGAAUAAAAUGAAUGUAUCUAUAACUAAAAUAAGUCUAGAUACAACCAUUUCGAGGACAAGUAUUUUCGGACGGAGGGAGUAUUAA